GUGGAAUCUGGUACCCGAGGGCUACUGCAACCCAGACUAAUCAACCCACUGGUAGAAAAUGUCAGAGGGUCUCGGAGUCCUGCCUCUUCUCCUUCUCUUCCUGGCGGAAGCCUGCCUAGGCCCUGGAUGCCAGGCCCUGAAGAUAGACAUUCCACCAUCAGUGACAGUGAACGUGGGGGAUGAGGCCCGCCUCGUCUGCAAGCACGAUGGCAACAAACCUAAUAUCACAUGGUGGUACGGUUUUGUGUACAACUCCAACAUCUCCGUCUCCUCAGUGUUUAUGGGUUCUGGUCAGGGGCUCAGAGGUGAUGAGCUGGUCAUCCCCAAUGUAAACAAGAGCCACGGGGGCCUCUACAGAUGCCACGCAGAAGAAAACGGCAAGAGAAAAUUCUCCUGCGGCACCUACCUCCGAGUGCGUAAGCCAGUCCCUAGACCCUUCCUGGACAUGGGAGAAGGCACCAAGAACCGUAUCAUCACAGCCGAGGGCAUUAUCCUGCUGUUCUGUGCAGUAGUGCCAGGGACAUUGCUACUAUUCAGGAAACGGUGGCAGAACGAGAAGUUUGGUGUGGACAUGCCAGAUGACUAUGAAGAUGAAAAUCUUUAUGAGGGCCUGAAUCUUGAUGACUGCUCUAUGUAUGAGGACAUCUCCAGGGGACUCCAGGGCACCUACCAGGAUGUGGGCAGUCUCCACAUUGGAGAUGUCCAGCUAGAAAAGCCGUGACUGACAUCCCCCAUCCUGCUGUGCUGUCUGUCCCCACCUGCCAUAUCCCUGCCUCACCUCUCUUGCCCUGCAGUCUCCCCUUCCCAGUCUUUGUCCCUCCAGAGUGUCCCACCCUUGCCUCCAGACUACCCCACCCUACUCUCCCACCUGAUCUUGUCCUUCCCCAAGUCUGUCCCGGGUUCCCUCUCCAGUGGGUAAUGAGCCCUUAAUCGCCGCCUCUAGGGGAGCUGAUUACAGCAGCCUCGUUAGUGUCACCCCCUCCUCCCAGAUCUGUCAUGGCCACUUAAGUGCUAAUAAAUCCUUCCU